rnacentral:rRNA from 1 species
GACGAACGCUGGCGGCGUGCCUAAUACAUGCAAGUAGAACGCUGAAGGAGGAGCUUGCUUCUCUGGAUGAGUUGCGAACGGGUGAGUAACGCGUAGGUAACCUGCCUGGUAGCGGGGGAUAACUAUUGGAAACGAUAGCUAAUACCGCAUAACAGUAGAUAUCGCAUGAUAUCUACUUGAAAGUUGCAAUUUCAUCACUACCAGAUGGACCUGCGUUGUAUUAGCUAGUUGGUGAGGUAACGGCUCACCAAGGCGACGAUACAUAGCCGACCGGAGAGGGUGGUCGGCCCAACUGGGAAUGGGACAAGGCCCAGAAUCCUACGGGAGGCAGCCGUAGGGAAUCUUCGGCAAUGGACGGAAGUCUGAACGAGCAACGCCGCGUGAGUGAAGAAGGUUCUCGGGUCGUAAAGGUCUGUUGUAAGAGAAGAAAGAGUGUGAGAGUGGAAAGUUCACACUGUGACGGUACCUUACCAGAAAGCGACGGCUAACUACGUG